rnacentral:rRNA from 1 species
UACGUAGGGGGCUAGCGUUGUCCGGAAUCAUUGGGCGUAAAGCGCGUGUAGGCGGUUCGGUAAGUCCGCUGUGAAAGUCGGGGGCUCAACCCUCGGAUGCCGGUGGAUACUGUCGGACUAGAGUACGGAAGAGGCGAGUGGAAUUCCUGGUGUAGCGGUGAAAUGCGCAGAUAUCAGGAGGGACACCAAUUGCGAAGGCAGCUCGCUGGGACGUAACUGACGCUGAGACGCGAAAGCGUGGGGGAGCAAACAGG